rnacentral:lncRNA from 1 species
CCCCUAUGUGUGUGUGCUUGUGGUGGGGAGGGGCUGAUGGCAGCAGCAGCUGAUCGGGACAGUAUCUACAGUGAUACGUACAGUCAUGUCAGAAUCUCUAAAACACCAGAAAAAUCUCCAAAAACACAAGAUAAACCCAUACUAUUCCGAGGUGAGAUGCAUCUGCAUGUGGUGGAGAAGAAGACAUGGGCAGUCCGUGAACGUGAACGGAAAAUGAGGCUCAACAAUCGGGGACCCAGAGGUUCACAAGGCAUCGUGGAAAGCGGAAUGAUGCGUGAGCACGACGGUGGCAGAGAUGGUGGACCUGGAGAUACGGACAACAGGCGUAUUGUUCGAUACCCUGACAGUCACCAGCUAUUUGUCAGAAAUCUUCCACAUGACACCGAUGAGAGCGAGCUCAAAGAAAUAUUCAUGGGUAGGUUUUUUUGCAAAACACCAGUAGUUUCACUAGUCUAAAUAAAGAUAUGCUA